AUUGAACGCUGGCGGCAUGCCUUACACGUGCAAGUCGAACGGCAGCACGGGAGCAAUCCUGGUGGCGAGUGGCGAACGGGUGAGUAAAGUAUCGGAACGUGCCCAGUCGUGGGGGAUAACGUAGCGAAAGUUACGCUAAUACCGCAUACGAUCUAUGGAUGAAAGCGGGGGAUCGCAAGACCUCGCGCGAUUGGAGCGGCCGAUAUCAGAUUAGGUAGUUGGUGGGGUAAAGGCUCACCAAGCCGACGAUCUGUAGCUGGUCUGAGAGGACGACCAGCCACACUGGGACUGAGAGACGGCCCAGACUCCUACGGGAGGCAGCAGUGGGGAAGUUUGGACAAUGGGAGCAAGCCUGAUCCAGCCAUGCCGCGUGCAGGAUGAAGGCCUUCGGGUUGUAAACUGCUUUUGUACGGAACGAAAAGGUUUGGCCUAAUAAGCUGAGCUCAUGACGGUACCGUAAGAAUAAGCACCGGCUAACUACGUGCCAGCCGCCGCAGUAA
rnacentral:rRNA from 1 species